ACCCUGUUAGCUCAGUGGAGAGAGCAACGAUCUUCUAAAUCGUAGGUCACAGGUUCGAAUCCUGUACAGGGUGCCA
rnacentral:tRNA from 1 species